GGGAGUGUGGUUUGGUUGAUAGAGUGCUUGCCUACCAUGCAGGAGGCCAUGGGUUCAAUCCCCAGCACUGCUU
rnacentral:tRNA from 1 species